rnacentral:rRNA from 1 species
AUUGAACGCUGGCGGCAGGCUUAACACAUGCAAGUCGAGCGAGCGGCGGACGGGUGAGUAAUGUCUGGGAAACUGCCUGAUGGAGGGGGAUACCUACUGGAAACGGUAGAUAAUACCGCAUACCAUCAGAUGUGCCAAGAUGGGAUUAGCUAGUAGGUGGGGUAAUGGCUCACCUCGGCGACGAUCCCUAGCUGGUCUGAGAGGAUGACAAGGCACACGGGAACGUAGACACGGUCCAGAAUCCUACGGGAGGCAGCAGGGGGGAAGAGUGCGCAAUGGGCGCAAGCCUGAUGCAGCCAUGCCGCGUGUGGGAAGAAGGCCUUCGGGUUGUAAAGCACUGUCAGCGAGGAGGCGUUACUCGCAGAAGAAGCACCGGCUAACUCCGUGCCAGCAGCCGCGGUAAUAC